GAUGAACGCUGGCGGCGUGCCUAAUACAUGCAAGUCGAGCGAACGGACGAGAAGCUUGCUUCUCUGAUGUUAGCGGCGGACGGGUGAGUAACACGUGGAUAACCUACCUAUAAGACUGGGAUAACUUCGGGAAACCGGAGCUAAUACCGUAUAAUAUUUUGCACCGCAUGGUUCAACAGUGAAAGACGUUCUUGCUGUCUCUUAUAGAUGGAUCCGCGCUGCAUUAGCUAGUUGGUAAGGUAACGGCUUACCAAGGCAACGAUGCAUAGCCGACCUGAGAGGGGGAUCGGCCACAGUGGAACUGAGACACGGUCCAGACUCCUACGGGAGGCAGAAGUAGGGAAGCGUGCGAAAGGGGCGAAAGACUGAAGGAGCAACGACGCGUGAGUGAUGAAGGUCUUCGGAUCGUAAAACUCUGUUAGUAGGGAAGAACAUAUGUGUAAGUAAAUGUGCACAUCUUGACGGUACCUAAUCAGAAAGCCACGGCUAACUACGU
rnacentral:rRNA from 1 species